ACCCUUCAAAAAAAGUAGCUCACCACAGCCUUUGAUUUCAAGGUAUGGAUGACAAAAACAUCACCGCCCAUGUGGCUGGUUUCAUGCGUUCGGAU